CAGGAUUCGACAUGCCCUCUAUGGAUUGCCGAAAAGCAAUCCUUCACUUCGGGUGGGAGGAGCACAGGUGCUGCAUGGCUGUCGUCAGCUCGUGUCGUGAGAUGUUGGGUUAAGUCCCGCAACGAGCGCAACCCUCAUUCUCUGUUGCUAACAGGUUAGGCUGAGCACUCUAAAGGAACUGCCGGUGACAAGCCGGAGGAAGGUGGGGAUGACGUCAAGUCCUCAUGGCCCUUAUGUCCUGGGCUACACACGUGCUACAAUGGCGGUGACAGUGGGAAGCUAGGUGGUGACACCAUGCUGAUCUCAAAAAGCCGUCUCAGUUCGGAUUGCACUCUGCAACUCGAGUGCAUGAAGGUGGAAUCGCUAGUAAUCGCGGAUCAGAUCGCCGCGGAGAAUACGUUCCC
rnacentral:rRNA from 1 species